GAGCCACUGAAGAAUUCUAAGGAGUCUAUUGUGACCUGGUUGACAUUUUAAUAAGUUCUCCCUUGUGCCCAUGUGGGAAAUAGAUUAGAGGGAGACAAGAAAACAUGUGGAGAGACACCUGUGAGACCAUUGCAAUAGUAGAAGAGUCCUCUACUCUUCCUCUACUCUUCUACUCUACUCAUCUGGCUGCCCACCCUCCCAAACUGAACUAACAAG
rnacentral:lncRNA from 1 species